rnacentral:misc_RNA from 1 species
GAGGCGUGAUGUGUGGCGGGUGGUGUGGGUUGUGGGUGGUGUGGGCUGUGUUGCUGCUGCCCACAGUGGCCGGCCUGCCCCACCCCCCACAGUCCUCGCCCACACACCCCCACCACAACCUGGAGAAUGAAGGAGGGAUGGUGCUACGCGAGGUGCUGGCUGGGAGACAGGUAUAUGUUUACCGCUCAUAUAAGGAUGUUCAGAUCUUCCACUUCUCAGUUCCUGCACAUGUGUCUAUGGCACUGUAUAAUUUCACUGCCAAUGACACCUUGGCAUGUGAUCCUCGCAACAUUACUGUUUUCCUGCAAGCAGAGAGUUAUCCUGUAGUGAAUCCUGAUGGUGCAGAGUAUCCACCUGGACUCUGGGUGAAUCGUUCCCAGGUGUACGAGGUGUCUCUACGUUCAGAUUUGAAACCCUCAUAUUUAUCCGUCCAAAAUCCUGUGGCUGGUGAUUGGUUUAUGGUUGCGUUUAUCAAUGAGACUUCCAACCGAAUCACACAGGCAGGUCUUUUUCCAUCCUGUCACUCCUGGCUGCAGGCAGAGGUGACAUACCAGCAAGAAAACAACAUUGUAACUGUUGUGCCUGAAAUACAUUCCCACCAAGAGAUACAGCUCUACCAUAACAUUGAAAAUACUCAGUAUUACAGAUUCUAUGUACCAUCAUCUACAUGGUUGGUUGUUGUGAAUAUCAGCAACUGUGUGGUUCUUCAUGAUGGGGAUACUCCUUCGUGUCCUGUAACUGUUGGCUUUAGAACGCGAGCACUGCCAAACCCAAAUUCCACCGAUACAGCUACUCACAGGUGUGAUGAAGUUGAGGGCAACACGUGUACCAUGGAAGUAGUGCCUGAGGAGGAAGCAUGGCAUUAUUUGAUGCUUAUAACACCAGUUGGCACUUCGGUUCAACUCAGUUUAGCUGUUAAACUCUAUUUGUGUGAUGCAGUUGAAGGCAGUAGUUACCAUCUCAUAAGUAAGAUGAACCUGAACCAGUUGUGUCCAGAGGAGAGUAUAGGAGCAAUGAACCCUUCAUUUCUCAACUACUCGACCAGUGACACAGAUGAUUCUGUCAAUGCAUCAUCUGUUAUCAAGGAACAGGUACAGCCUCGUCGCAUUCUCUUCAUGCCCGCUCUCAACACCAAGCAAGACAUUGAGGAUAGCUGCUGGCCAAGGUAUAAUUUGGUCAAAAAGACGUUUGGAGGGAACUUUGUUUUUGAAUAUGACUUGCCACCUGAUGAAAAUGGGUCUGUGCCACUUCUCUUAAAUAUCACCAAUGCUUCACCGACACUACUUGCUUUUCGUCUUGAGCCAAUUAUAGAUAUUGGAGGAACACUUUCUGUUGAACUGGCCAUCUCUCCAUUUAUGAACAUAAGUACACACAAUUUUAGUGUAGCUGGAUGUGUGGCUCUUGGAGUACGUGAGGCACCAGAUGCAAGCGGUCAGUGUACUCGUGGCCACAGUCUACUAGUCAACACUUCUAGUCUGAAUGAUGCAGCUACAAUGGUCCUAAUACCUUUCCCAGAACCUGGGCCGUGGUACCUGACGCUUAUCCCAGCAUGUUAUCUUACUAAUACCAGUGAAAUGGUGGAGUGUAGUGUGAAUGACACGACUGUGGUGUUCAGCGUAACUUCAGCUUCAUGUCUUCAAGGAAAGUGUGGCAGAUAUGGUUCUUGCUUCCAGUAUAUAUCUGGGGGAUUCAUUUUCUCCACAUGUGUUUGUGAUGCAGGUUACCGUGGAUGGGGAUGUACGGACAGUUCUCAGGCUACACCGAAUUGGGAGCUCCUUCUUGCGACAUUGUUACUCACAUUGUCUAAUCUCUUCUUCCUGCCAGCCAUAGUCCUUGCUGUAAAGCGAAGAUAUUUUGCCGAAGCCAUUGUUUAUGCGUUCACCAUGGUCUUCUCUACGUUCUACCAUGCCUGUGACCAAGAGGCAUACAACUUUUGUCUCAUGCGCCUCAGUGUCAUGCAGUUCUGUGAUUUCUACUCGGCCAUAUUUUCAUUCUGGGUAACUCUCAUUGCGAUGGCAGAUCUCCCACACUCUCUGUACUCAUUCCUGCAUGUUGCUGGUGCUCUGAUUGUUGCCCUUGGAGUAGAGUAUGACCGGACAGGGUUGUGGGUGUUUGUUGUCCCUUCAGCCUCGGCAUUCUUUAUCAUGGCAUCGUCUUGGGUUUGGCAUUGCAAACUUCAACACGGAUGCUACCCGGCAAAGCAGUACUGGUUGACGUGUCUCCUCCCUGGAGUCCUGUUGGCUGUUACAGGGCUCAUAUGUUACGCCUUCUUGGAGACCCAUGACAACUACUACUAUGUUCACUCUGCGUGGCACGCAACUAUGGCCCUUGCUAUUCUCUGUCUCCUUCCUCCUCGCAGAGACAAAGAUGAGAGAAAUGGUGGCGAUGAGGAAGUGGAGCCAUUGUCGGCCUGUCACGCCCAACUUCACAUUAUUGAGACGCAGGCCUACUCUUCUGUUCAUUAGCUCGAAUUGUAAAUGAUUGCAAAAGAACCUCCAGUCUCUUUCCCAGUAAUUUAACUUCAUUUUUAGAUAAAUAAGAGAGAAAAUAAUUUUGUAUUAUAAGUUUUAAUGGUAGAGUAUGUAUACAGUAUACAGUAUAGUAUUUAUAGUGCAUAUGUUUACAGGUAUACAGUAUUGUACUGUAUAUGUGUGUGUGUGGUAUUAUCUAUAUGUAGUUACCAGAAGAGAGCUGUGCUGAUGGUUUCCCAUGUUUUCUGCUCUUUACCUGGGGCAUACCUGGAGAGGGUUCUGAGAGUUCUUCUACUCACCGAGCCUGGCAUAAAAUAUAUGUCUAUAUUUUAUCAUAAAUACACAAGUGAAAAUUGCUAGUGAAUUUUGCAUACACUACCCUAUCCUGAAACUUAUUCCAUUUAUCUGCAGUUCUGUUUAUAAAAAGAAUUUGUUGUUUUUGCAUGCCUCUGUGAGAUGACUGCCUUAUUUAUCUCCUCGAGCUACCCACCUGAACACCUCCAAUCCUGAGCACUGUACCUCAACAGGCUCUUACCAAAUCACAAGCACCUAUCGGGUCACAAGACUACUACAUACCAAAAUCUGCCCCCCCCCCCCCUCAGUAGAGGCAGGUGACUCUAGGCCUAUUAGACCACAACAGUAGCAAUUGCAAAAAACAAAAACCAGAAUGGUAGAGCACACCAAAACGAGCACCUGUUUAGAUAGCAGUUGCAUUCUGGAUUAAAACUAUGGUCUAUACACACCCAUUGUCUGGGUCCAAUUUCUUAGCUCCACACCCUCCCCUCUGGAUAGCAGCCCUGGCAACCUAGGGGUCCAAGGCUGCCAUGCACAUGAAUAUCAGCACCUGCUUUUUUGUAUAAAAAUUCAAACAACUAUAAACCACAUAUUUUAAUAAAGGGGAACGAUAGAAGAACAUAAUUGCACUGAUCCACAUCGGGCUUGGAUACCCAUGUGCAUGGAAAACAGGCUUAAAGGUUCCAGAAUAAGAGAGGAAAGGUCAGUAUUCUCGAAAAAAGCUCAGCUGUCUCUGGAUGCUGCCUUUCCUGGCUGUCUGCAGCACUGUCUAGCUUAGUAUUUUGUGGUACUCUUUCUAUUUGGCUGUCUCGGGCACUGUCUUUUACCCCAGUGUUGCUGUCUUUGAUCUGAUUGGGGGGGGGGGGUUAUCACCAACCACUGUAGGGGCCACUGUGGCUUAUUCUUUUUUCACAAUCUCCACAAUUUCUCUAAACAAUGUUGUGGCCAUCUUGGUUUCCUUUCGUUUUUGGUUUUCAGUGGCCUCAUAUUGAGAGACUUGUGACAGAGCAUCUUGGCACUGCUGAGGGUACCCUCCCAAAAAUUCGCCAUUUAUAUGUAAUGAAGUGCCGCUUUCUGAUGAGUCUUCAGCGACUCCUCGUUACCCACCCUUUUCCUGUCCCUUCCUGAGGAGUUUUAUUUUGUUUUGUUUUUGGCUGCCCAUAACUGUGCUGGCUGACUGCCUGGACCCCCAGGUUGCUGGGGUGGCUGCCUGGAACCCAAGGUUGCUGGGGUGGCUGUCUGGGGGAAGUGAGUAUAAUAGCAAUGAUUCAGCCAUGUUAACAAAGUGUGUACAUUGUUAGAACCAAGGUUACAAUUGCUUGUUUUGUAGCACUGAAUCUUUCUGGUGGGUUUUUGUCCUGUCAGAUAGGGGUGAUUUCUGAUUCUCUGCUCCUUGUAGCCUCCUUGUUGGGAGGAGGGGCAGACUAGGGUCCUAGUCUGUGGUAGGUGUAUGUGACUCACGAGAGCCUGCUGUGACUACCAAAGCUUGGCUGGUACCAGGCUCUAGCAUUGGGGAGCUACUUAGGGCCUACCAAAAAAAAAGUGUUUCAUUACAUUCGUCGCUAGAUUUUAAUACAACUAGGUACCUGCUGACAUGUAUUUUCAGAAGUUUUUUCUGUUUAUUUUAGCAUUUAUACAAUGCUAACCAGCAUAUAUACAUUUUCUUCUGUCUUCCAUGGAUAAGGGUGUUUUAAAUUAUAAUUCGAGUCCAUAGUGGUGAAUUUAAACUAUAUUAAUUGUUUUUAAAAUUGCAUAAUUUUGAACAAAUUGAGACUAAAGUUUUAUCUAAUUUAAAUUGCAUGCAACAUUUUUGAAAACUAAUUCCGCCCUAGGUAUAACUAAUGGGUAAUGCAUCAUUAAAAAAAAAAAUCCCAGUUUAAAGUGCUUGCUUACUGUAAAGGUUCAUUAUUUUCAGAUAUAAGCUGCAUAUCAUAAGCCUAUGGGGUGCUCUGUCAUACACACAAUCAUUGUGCAGUAUUGUUUUGCUUCUUUUGUUAGGUCUUAAUCACUAUCUCAUUUGCUUUACAAAAAACAUAUACUCACAAUUUUGAACCCAAUGUAAUUAUCUUCAUUAUGUCUCCCACCCAGAUCAUCGUAUAAAGUUGUCACUUCCUGUUAAGCUUAUAUUACUGCCUAGCUGAUAUCUGAAUCAAAGUAUUUGUUGUAUUUUUAACUCUAUGACCAACGUGCAUAUUUGUUAGCAUUAACGAGCAUGAAAGUAUAUCUUCUCUCUCGGUUCAAAAAUUUGGCUUCCAACUAAUUUUUACAUUAACCUUUCCACCCAAAAUAGUAAGCCUUCACUAUAGUGGCUUUGGUUACUGUGUAUUAUACUUCCUUACCUGACCAAUUUUCUCAAAAAUUACAGGAUUCUUCUCAGAGACCCAUCCAUCUUCCCAGCCUGACCUGGUGGCCUUCAGGUCAUCUCCUGAGCAUGUUCCUCUUCCUAAUCUUCAGAUGUACUCCUCACCCUGAUUGACAGACAUCACUACUUUCCUUCAUCCGCACUAACAGCUUGCUCCCCCCCCCCAUUAUUUUGACAAUAAUUCAGACCUUUAGCCACCUGAUUAACCACUGAUAUUUAAAGCAUUCUAGUACCCAAAAAAUUGUCAUAACAUUUCUCCUGAUCCUAACCUAGCCAAACUAAUCCUAGAA